CCGCCCGCCCUUUCGUUCCCCGCGCACGGCCGGUGCUCGGUGUCGUGCUUGCUGCCGGUAACGGCGGGUAACGGCGCCCGCCCGCAGCUGUGGCUGGGCUGAGGGCGAGCGGGGGGGGCGGGGGCACGUAAAACCUGCUGAGGGGAGAAAAGCGUUUUAAAACCUCCGCCGCGGCCUUCACCCGCCCCCCGUGAGGGUCGCGGCGGAGCGGGAUGAGGGGUGGGAGAAGCGAGGCGUGCGCGAGGAAGGAAGGAAGGAAGGAAGGAAGCAAGCAAGCAAGCAAGCAAGCAAGCAAGCAAGCAAGCAAGCAAGGGGGAAGCCCCGCGCCUCUUCCUCUGCGUCUCGGUGGCCGAGGAAGGGCAGCGUUCCCGAUACACGACAGCGGUGAGCUGCGGCGGUGGGGCGCGGAACAGGUGGAAGCUUCCCGUUUGGAAAGCGCAGCAGAAGCAGCUGAAGGAAUCUGUUUUUCAGUAACUGAAGCCAUAAUAAGCCUACAAACGGUAGAAAUGUAGGUUAAGGGAUAAGAAGUCAGCAAGAAUGUGCACGGGGAGAAGUAGGAGUCUAUCGCGCGUUUUUUAAGAUACCUGAAAGAACACGUUUGAAGGCCUUUGUUUUCCUCAAUUGCUCUGUUUUCAUGCCAUUCAUACCAAAGGACUCCCUCAAGUCUGCAAGAAUCUUGUAGGUAGUCUCAGAUAACUCGUGUUACUCUGUACACUAGGUUACCCUGUUUUAUAACUGCAGUCAAAAUGUUGAGAGGCUGGUCUGAGGGCAGCAGCUCACUUCGUGCUGAAUUCUCUUCUUGAAGCAGUGAUACUCCGUGGUUUAGUUCACCUCAGCUUUGAAAGCAAUUUUCCUCCUUUCCUGAUAUGGUUCUGCGUAGCAUCCUGCACUGUAUACAGUUUCUGGGUGUUCCAGUCACUACUGACAAAACGUAACAUAUCAUCUGGUUUUUAUGUAGCCUGCUAAGUUUACCAGGAAAAGGAAGGAUCUGACAUCUGACAAGAAUCCCUUCCUGAGCUUUCAUCUGCAAUGGUAUUGUUAUCGGUCAGCUUUUUUGCUUUUUCUCAUGCGUGCACACAGCUGCUCUUCAGAAGAUGAUCAUUUCAGAUCUUAAAAUAACAUUUCACCUACAUUAUUCAGCACAGCUGUCUGAAAAUUCACAUGAGAAGAAGUACAUUUGUAGUAAUGUUGAAUGUUGGGAGAUUUAUGCUGUGGGUUAGCAUGCAUGUCAGAAGAAAGGUUUCAGAGAGACAAAAGGCCACAUGCCUUCAGAUUUUUGAGAAAUUGUAUUAUUUUUAACCAAUCCAACAAUUGUAUGUAAUGAUGUAUGUAAAAGGUUAACUCUACUUCAACUGUAGAGAUUAAAAGGAAAGACCACAGAUCUUGUGAUGGAGAAGCUGAUGAUGGUCUAAAAGGACAUAUUCUCCAACUACUCUGCAGAUCUUAAGACUAACACAAGGACACAGUAUGUUACAAAAGGGAACUAACGUGUUCCUCUCUUUCCUGCCUGCUUCUCCACUUGGAAGCGAGGGAUGUUUUUCAGCCAGAAAGACUUUGCCUGCAAGGAAUUGUAAGAAAUUGUAAGAUUAUGAAUCUUUUAUCAUGAGAAGCCCAUGGGAAAACUUUGCUUAAAAUUCUGAAAAUGGUAAUGGAUUAUCGUAAACAUUCAUUUAAAUUUGUUUUGUCCUGAUCAUGUCAUGAACCACAGAAUGUUGCAGCAGAAAUAUAUGCAUGGCGGAUGAUUGCCUGGAUAUAUAGCAGGCUCACUGAAUCUAAAGGAAGUUUGCUGUCAGAAUUUCGGCUGUAUCAAGAGUUUGGGAUGUGACCACCCCUUAGCCUGUGGAAAGCAUGAGUGUUGCUGCUGAAGCUCUCUGUGAUAAUGCCUUUGCUGUCUAGAUACAGACCAACUACACGUUUCUGUGAUCUCUACUGAGAUGCAUGUAGCUGUUUCUCAAUGCAUACAAUGCAUACUCUGCUUUGCACAAUUCUGUUAGCUUGGAGCUAAACCUAGCAUGAUUGCUACAGAGGCUUCUCUGGCCAGAAUUCCUGGCAAGAAUUUUAAGGAAGGGUUUGCUUGCAGUUAGCUGCCAGAAGGAUAUAAUCAUUGAUUACUUGCAGUAGAAAGCACAGUAAUCCAUUCUCAAAUGGUAAUGGGAAAAGAAGAUGGUAUUUGUGAAGAGAAAAUAAGUAUUAUAUCGUGAUUGUUCUUUAUUCUCAAAUAUUUACUAAAUAAAAACAAUGUAUAAAUGUUGA